rnacentral:rRNA from 1 species
UACGAAGGGGGCUAGCGUUGUUCGGAUUUAUUGGGCGUAAAGGGUGCGCAGGCGGUUUUAUAAGUCAGGUGUGAAAUCCCACAGCUUAACUGUGGACACGCAUUUGAUACUGUUAGACUAGAGUAUGAGAGGGGUGAGAGGAAUUUCCAGUGUAGGGGUGAAAUCCGUAGAUAUUGGAAAGAACACCGGCCGCGAAGGCGUUUCACUGGCUCAUUACUGACGCUCAGGGACGAAAGCCAGGGGAGCAAACGGG